GGGGUCGUCGUCUAGCAUGGUUCCUCGAGAACCCUAGUGAGGUAGGACGGCAGGCUCCAGACCUGUAGGUCGUGGGUUCAAAUCCCACCGACCCCA
rnacentral:tRNA from 1 species